rnacentral:rRNA from 1 species
GACGAACGCUGGCGGCGGGCUUAACACAUGCAAGUCGAACGGAAAGGCCCGGGGUUGGUGGGGUGCACGAGUGGCAAACGGGUGAGGAAUACGUGAGUAACAUGCCCGUGAAUGUGGGGUAACGUCAGGAAACUGGGGCUAAUACCGGAUAGGAGCUACUGCUGCAUGGUGGGGGGUGGAACGGUGCGGCGGUUGGGGAUGGACUCGCGGCUUAUCAGCUUGUUGGUGGGGUAGUGGCUUACCAAGGAUUUGACGGGUAGCCGGCCUGCGAGGGUGACCGGCCAAGUUGGAGCUGAGGUCAGGCCCGGAAUCCUAUGGGAGGCAGUAGUGCGGAAUAGUGCAUUAUGGGCCGACGCCUGAUGCAGCAACGCCGCGACCGGGAUGACGACCCUCGGGUUGUGGAGCGCUUUCGCAUGUGACGAUCGUUGAGUGACGGUACUGUGUAAAGAAGCCCCGCAUCACUACGUG